UUACUAAUGGUGGUGAUAAGCUGAAGAGGGUAGUUAAGCCAUUGAGUAUUAGAAUUUGUUAAAGACAUAGAGUUAAUCAGAAACACCUUACAACUCCUGUAUGCCUCUCAUUCUCUGGUUCGUUUCUGGGAUGGGUUCCUCCUUCCCUAAUCAAGUCACAUAAAUUCAUUGGAAAUCUUCAUAUAUCUAAGGUACUUCACUAAACUUUGCAGAUGUAUGUCAUUUAAAUUAUAAGCAGUCAAUUACUUUCCACUUAAUAAACUUUGUAAUUAUAUCUACUAGGAAGUAUUAAGAGAAAGGCAAGAAAACUUAAGACUUGUGAGACUAAUGCAAGACAAAGAGGAGAUGAUCGGAAAACUGCAAGAGGAAAUCGAUCUGUUAAAUAGAGACCUAGAUGACAUAGAAGAUGAAAAUGAACAACUAAAGCAAGAGAAUAAAACUCUUUUGAAAGUUGUUGGGCAGCUAACAAGGUAGAAGAUUCAAGGCUCAGUGUGGGAAAAAGUAUUUUAAAACUACUGAUUGAAUGUUAUGGCUAAUGCUAGGACAAUAUUCCUAUGCUGCAAUACAUUAAGUAUGUAUAUUUAUUUCCAGUAAACAGUGGAUGUUUAUUUUCAAAAUAUUUCUUUUUCAUUAUUAGUUUCAAAAAAGUAUCUACCUGUUAUUUCACAAAUAAGAAACAUCUUUCAGUUAUUAAAAUGAUAGGUUAUGCCUCUUUUGGCUUUUGUGUGGUAUUCAAAUAAUAUGUGGUUUAAAGUCACAACCAUUUGGAUAUAUUUUAUCUAUGGUAGUGCAUUUUCUCCCUAAAGGAAUAUACAUAGUCUUUGUUUACAUGAAUUCAAAUACUUUUGGGGAAUUACCUGCAAAUGCCUUAUUACUGAUGUGUGUAACCUUUUAUGUGUUGAUGAUUUACUUGUAAAGAUCUUUGUCUACUGUCAUUUGCUCUUUCAACUUAUUCUAAGUAAUUUAGAGUAAUAUAGAGUUACACUAUUUUGUAUAACAGUCAUCUUUAAAAAGGAAAGGUAUUAUAAAAAGUCCCUUAAUAUCAUGUACUAGUUGGCUAAAUAUAAAAUUUAAGAGAAUACUUGAAUUGUGUUAUAAUAAAUUAAAAUGUACUAUUUUGUAUUUGAAUAUUGAAAAAUGUAAAAUCACUUCAACUUCUGAAAAACAUACAAUUCUAAUUUUAAUGUAAAAUUUCUUACGUUGAUACUACCUUUUCUAUUAGUCCAAGGUUUAUAAGUGAACAUGGGAUAUGUAAAGAGUUGUUUAUUCAUCAAGCCUGGAGAGUGUGUACAAUUUCAGUGUAUAAGAAAAAAUCCGUAUUUAAUUAUAUGCAUUAAAAUCAAAACCAAAAUAUUUAUCCACACUUAAAACAUUUAUAUUUACAUUACAAAAGAGUACAUAAACAGAAAUAGUACUUAAAUACAUUGCUUAAUUUCUAACUUGGAGAAUAACAAUGACAUUGUUGUUCUCGUAUCAGAGAAUUCUUGCCUGCCCUACCUCAAAUUUAAGGGAUUUUCUUCCUAACAGUGGAUUUUUAAGAAACAGAAUUAUUUUAAAGACUUAUACAACUUUUCUGUUAAAUAUCAUUAGUGUUUAGAGUUGUUUUAUAUUAUAUUUUCAUGUUGAAUAAGCAAACCCCCUCCUUUAAAAUACAUUAAGAAAUGUUGGCCUGAUAGUUGACUCUCAAACAGUAUACUGAUAUCCUUUUUAUCCAGUUAAUGUACAGAAGUGGCUUGAACAUACCCAUUUGGACCACCCCACUGAUUCUUUUUCCUUCACUUGCCAAGCCCCUUCAUUAUUCACUAUUAGAAAAAUAGGGAAGGAGAGACAGUUGGAAAAAAUGUAGAUAAAUGAUAAAAAUCUGAUGUUGGAUUCUAAAACUCUGUGCAGUGACCUAAGUUACCCCCCAACCCCAACCCCUUUCCAUUUCAGAAGUUUCAACCUUGGCUGAUGAUCAGAAUCACUUGGGUUGCUUAAAAAGAAUUUCCUAGCUGUAGUUUCUAAGUAGUUUUAGGCUGAGACCCUGGACAGAAUUUUUAAAGCUCAUCUUGUUGAUACUGAUCAUCACCUAGGUUUGGAAACAGCUGCCAUUGCCUUUUUCCUUCUAGACCUUCCAUUGGAGACUCUGGAAUUAACAUAAUUUUAGCUACCAGCAUUUUACCCCCUUUUAGUUUAUUUAAUAACCAAUCUGGUCUCUGGGGAAGUUUUCGUGUGUGUGGGACGGGGGAGGGGUAUAAUGUUUUGUUUUUGUUUUUUUUGUUUGUUUUUUUUACUAAAAAGUUUAAUGUUAGAUUACCAAACUUGAUAUAUUUGCAGAAUUACUGCAUAAGGGCAUCCUUUUCAGAGAAUAGUACCCAGCCUGGGAACAGUGAUCCACUACCCACACGUCAAAAGUGGCUUGCCAGGCUCAGUCACCUUCUUCGGCUGUGAGGUAUUCAUCUCCCUUUAGUUAGAUACCCUUAGGUGUGUGGCAGAAAUAUCAGUAUUGCCUAGUUUCCCAGCUACACUUUGGAUAUUGUGAAAAUGCUGUCAGUAUCCAGCCUUAAAAUACAUUACUACAUGAAUGUGUUGGUUUUUCAGUAAAAAAAGUAUUUUGAAUUUUCUAUUUAACCAUAUAUAGUUAAAGGAAUAUUUCAUUUCCCUUCUUAAAAUUAUUCCAGUUAUUAAUAUUUCCAAAGACUGAGCUGUUUUAAAUUUUUUCCUUUCCUUCAGUUUAUCAGGAACAUUUCCAGCAGUGAUCUUUUACAUAAUGGUACCUAGUGCAAAUACAGUGCCUGACAACUUAGGCAAAGCUUUCACAUGCAGUUCUUCCAUCCUUAAAUACACAUUUAUGUCACACAUAGACUUUUACACUGAAUGUUAAAAAAUAAGUAGGAUCUGCUAUACUAUCUUUAAAAUUUAGAAAAGGCAUUGAGAUUUUAAAAAGGUAACUUAUAAAUACAUGUGCACUACCUUAGAAAACUUGGCUAUUGUCAAUAAAGUGCUAGUAUUUGUGAAAUUAUUAGUCCUGUUCAGAAAUAAUAUUUCUUAUAUUUCCUGGGAAUUUGUGGCAUAAUAAAGCUUAUCCAAAGUUCUAA